rnacentral:lncRNA from 1 species
GGGACAGCUAAAAGUAUAUGUGGAACGGUUCCCUCAUCCAGGCCACACUCACAUAUAGACGAGUCUCUUAUGUGUAAUUUAUAUAAGUGCACUGGAGACGAGCAAUGACCAAUUCUCAACCGAGAUAUGGUGGCAGAGAUAUGUUUGCUGAAACGUAAUUUGGAAAACCAAGGCCUAGAAGUUAUGUAAGGUUGAAUUUUGUACAGGUUACCUCCUUUAAGGGUACUAGAGUUCCUCCAACUGGUGUUCCAUGCCAGCUCUAGGUCUUGUUUGGCCAAAGUAGAAAGGUCAAAAGAAUACACUGAGAAGUACUCAUCGUUACCAUGAACAAUAGCAUCUUUGGCUAAUUGAUCUACUGUUUCAUUACCUUUAAUACCUAUAUGGCCUGGAAUCCAAGCCACCGACACUUGAAUGUGUUCUACAUUACAUAAUUUAAUCAAAUGCUUAAUUUCUAGAGACAGUGGGUGAAUACAAUUUUUAGCAAAAGGGUUGCUAAGAAGAGACUGGACACAACUUUUAGAGUCGGAAAAAAAUUAUAGAAGGCGAAAUAUUGUUAACUCUGAUGUAUUUAAUACAUUCCCUAAUAGCUAAAAAUUCACCAGAAAAUACCGAACAAUAGUGUGGAAAUUUAUAUGAAAAGGAUAUAUUGGCAUUCCAGUGUAAAAAAGCAACACCAACAGGGCUUUCUUUACUUAAUUUAGAGGCAUCUGUGAAAAAAAUCUUAGCUUGGGGCCAACGUUUCUGAAUAAUGAGUUUUAAUUUAGAAUCUGGAUUAGCAGUCUGUUUAUCUAUACCAAGAGAUAACUCCACAGAAGGGGUUGAAAUUUUAGAGCUAAACUCAACUGAAAAUGCUGGAUGUAUUUUAAAUUUAUUAAUAGCACAAGAUAUACCUUCUAGCCUCCUGUAACUUUCAAUAAGACAGGGUAAGGGUUUAUGAUACCAGUAAGAGUUAGAAAUAAUAAAUGAAUUUAAUAAUCUAAGUUUAGAGAAAAGAGGAUGAGAGGAGUAAUUAGAUAUUUUAUAAAUAUAUCUGUCUGACAGAUAUUGACGUCUGAGAUAAAGAGGAGGGUCAGAACAUUCCACCUGUAAGGCAUUUGUAGGGAGGCAGCAAAAGGGUGGCAAAAUCUAAAUGACUCCUCACAAUAGCAUUAUAUAAUAAUCUGAGGGAGUAAGGAUGUGCUCCCCACCAGACACCCCUUAAACAUCGCAAAAUAUUAAUGUUGCUCUCACAUUUAUUAACAAUAUUGUCUAUGUGCGCUACACCGUUCAUUCUACUGUCAAAUAUUUUACCCAAAAAUUUUACCUCUUUCUUUACUGGAAUUAGGGUCCCAUUGCACUCAACAUCAAUAUGGGGUAUCUGACGUUUUCUAGAAAAGACAACGACUACACUUUUGGAGGCUGAUAGGUCUAAAUAAUUAUUAUUCAGCCAUGAGGAUAGUACAGUCAUGCCACUUUCAAUAUUAUCCUUUGCUACGCUUAUAGAAUUAUUAGAAGAAUAAAUAAGGAGGUCAUCAGCAUACUGUAAGAUAUUACACCCAUCCGAUAUGUGAUGAUCUAUAUCGGUAGUGUAAACAUCAUACAGCAGAGGGCUGAUUACAGAACCUUGAGGAACCCUUAGCUGAACUAAUUUGUUCCUAAGGACCCAAAGAUUAACAUUAUCAUAUGCCGCUGAAACAUCGAGGAAGCCAGCUACCACUGACUUGUUUUGACUAAAUGCCAACUGAAUGUCAGUAGUGAAAAUGGCAUGACUAUCGGAAAUACUCCGGCCUUUCCUGAAUCCAUAUUGAGAAUCUGCCAGUAAAGAAUGGUGCUCUAGGAACCAUUCUAAUCUGUUUUUUAUCAAGUGUUCUACUACUUUGGGCAUGGUAGAUGAGAGCGCUAUAGGCCGAUAUGAAAGUGAAUUACAAGGGUCUUUCCCUGGUUUGGGAACGGGUACAAUUAAUUGAUGUUUCCAAUUUUCCGGAAUAACUCCAGAAUCAACAAUUAAAUUAAUCAAGUUUAAAAAUAACUAAGGGAACUAUUCCGGGAUUUUGAAAGAAAGGAAUA